CCCAGCUAUAGGCAGCUGCCUAGGUUGCCUAGUACCUAGGCAAGUGUUAUACCGCUGGGAGAACAGCAGCCCAUAUUUAGCUGGUUGGCAUUCUGGGCCUUGUUCAUUCCAACUCUGUUGUCAACUGUACCAGGAUGCCAGCACA
rnacentral:snoRNA from 1 species